AAGCUCUGAGUAGUGGUUACUAAGUUAUUUUGUGAGGGAUCAGUUAUAACAGUUUUCUUAAUUCGCCGUGGGGUUAUAGUGAUUAGAUCAUUCAUACCGGGCAUCAAACAUCAAUAAUAUAGGAAUAGGAAAUUCUAAAACUCAACAUGGCCGCUUUCGUGACAUUGUUUACUCAUUUAUUUACUUUUCGCAUUAAAACUCGAAAAUCCUCCAUUUUUAGUUUUUAUACAUUGCACACAUUUUGUCUUGCUUGAGGCAGUCUCCGUGGAUUCAAUCUUUUUAUUACUUCGACAUUAUCGGUACACUUGCCAAGAAGUCAUCAAGGUUUUGACGUCGUUGUCGGGGACUGUUGAUUUUUCAACAAGGCGACGUUUGUGCAACUGUUUUUAUUUUUAGUCUUUUUAAUUCUUGUUUUAAUUUCUUGUUUAUCAUAGUGCUACUGAGGUAUUUUAUGUGUGUGUAUGUGCAGUUCAGGAUCACCAUUAAUUCUAUUGGAUCUAGAAAUUGAAAGAUCUGCAUGUGCUUUUAGAAAAGCAUUUAGAGAAGCAACUCGGGAGAGAGGAAUACCAGAAAAAGAGCAACUAUCAAGUUCUUCCGACUCUGAAGAAGAAAUCACGGCAGUUGCACAAUCCCCCACUAUGGGGAACUACUGUA
rnacentral:lncRNA from 1 species